rnacentral:rRNA from 1 species
AGUAACACGUGGAUAACCUACCUAUAAGACUGGGAUAACUUCGGGAAACCGGAGCUAAUACCGGAUAAUAUUUUGAACCGCAUGGUUCAAAAGUGAAAGACGGUCUUGCUGUCACUUAUAGAUGGAUCCGCGCUGCAUUAGCUAGUUGGUAAGGUAACGGCUUACCAAGGCAACGAUGCAUAGCCGACCUGAGAGGGUGAUCAGCCACACUGGAACUGAGACACGGUCCAG